UACGUAGGGUGCGAGCGUUAAUCGGAAUUACUGGGCGUAAAGCGUGCGCAGGCGGUUUUGUAAGUCAGAUGUGAAAUCCCCGGGCUCAACCUGGGAACUGCAUUUGAGACUGCAAGGCUAGAGUGUAGCAGAGGGGGGUAGAAUUCCACGUGUAGCAGUGAAAUGCGUAGAGAUGUGGAGGAAUACCGAUGGCGAAGGCAGCCCCCUGGGCUAUUACUGACGCUCAUGCACGAAAGCGUGGGGAGCAAACAGG
rnacentral:rRNA from 1 species